CAAGGCUCCGAUCGGUAUCCGGCCUGAGAGGGCGGACGGACACACUGGAACUGAGACACGGUCCAGACCCCUACGGGAGGCAGCAGUCGGGAAUUUUGGGCAAUGGGCGCAAGCCUGACCCAGCAACGCCGCGUGAAGGAUGAAAUCCCUCGGGAUGUAAACUUCGCAAGAACGGGAAGAAUAAGCCGGUAUAAAUACUACCGGUGAUGACGGUACCGUCUGUAAGCUCCGGCUAACUCCGUGCCAGCAGCCGCGGUAAUACGGGGGGAGCAAGCGUUGUUCGGAUUUACUGGGCGUAAGGGGCGCGUAGGCGGUCAGCACAAGUCAGUUGUGGAACCUCCGAGCUUAACUCGGAAAGGUCAACUGAUACUGUGCGACUAGAGUGCAGAAGGGGCAACUGGAAUUCUCGGUGUAGCGGUGAAAUGCGUAGAUAUCGAGAGGAACACCUGCGGCGAAGGCGGGUUGCUGGGCUGACACUGACGCUGAGGCGCGAAAGCUAGGGGAGCGAACGGGAUUAGAUACCCCGGUAGUCCUAGCCUUAAACGAUGAAUGCUUGGUGUCUGGGGUUAUAUAGUCCCCGGGUGCCGUCGCUAACGCUUUAAGCAUUCCGCCUGGGGAGUACGGUCGCAAGACUGAAACUUAAAGGAAUUGACGG
rnacentral:rRNA from 1 species